rnacentral:rRNA from 1 species
GAGUUUGAUCGUGGCUCAGAUUGAACGCUGGCGGCAUGCCUUACACAUGCAAGUCGAACGGCAGCACGGGAGCUUGCUCCUGGUGGCGAGUGGCGAACGGGUGAGUAAUGCAUCGGAACGUAUCCUGGAGUGGGGGAUAACGUAGCGAAAGUUACGCUAAUACCGCAUAUUCUGUGAGCAGGAAAGCGGGGGACCUUCGGGCCUCGCGCUCUUGGAGCGGCCGAUGUCGGAUUAGCUAGUUGGUGAGGUAAAGGCUCACCAAGGCGACGAUCCGUAGCAGGUCUGAGAGGAUGAUCUGCCACACUGGAACUGAGACACGGUCCAGACUCCUACGGGAGGCAGCAGUGGGGAAUUUUGGACAAUGGGGGGCAACCCUGAUCCAGCCAUGCCGCGUGAGUGAAGAAGGCCUCGGUUG